rnacentral:rRNA from 1 species
AUUGAACGCUGGCGGCAUGCUUUACACAUGCAAGUCGAACGGUAACAGGCCUUCGGGUGCUGACGAGUGGCGAACGGGUGAGUAAUGCAUCGGAACGUGCCCAAUCGUGGGGGAUAACGUAGCGAAAGUUACGCUAAUACCGCAUAAGCCCUGAGGGGGAAAGUGGGGGACCGCAAGGCCUCACGCGAAUGGAGCGGCCGAUGUCAGAUUAGCUAGUUGGUGGGGUAAAGGCCCACCAAGGCGACGAUCUGUAGCGGGUCUGAGAGGAUGAUCCGCCACACUGGGACUGAGACACGGCCCAGACUCCUACGGGAGGCAGCAGUGGGGAAUUUUGGACAAUGGGCGAAAGCCUGAUCCAGCCAUUCCGCGUGCAGGAUGAAGGCCCUCGGGUUGUAAACUAGCGUUUUGUUACGGUAACGAAACGGACCGUUUUCCUUAAUAACUAGAGGGCGUAAUAGACGGUACCGUAA